UGCGAGAUGGUGUUAUGGCACAUUAAGUUUUGGACUUUAAGGUGGUAGGUUAUUUCUAUCUCUUGCAG
rnacentral:tRNA from 1 species